rnacentral:tRNA from 1 species
GCGGGGGUAGUUCAAUGGUAGAACGAGAGCUUCCCAGACUCUAUACGAGGGUUCGAUUCCCUUCACCCGCUCCA